UAUGGCAGAUUAGUGCAAAGGACUUAAAAACCUUAUAUAAAGAUAAUAUUAUCUUUUAUUAAAA
rnacentral:tRNA from 2 species